UUUAGUCCCCAACAUAGUAACCUUUUAAAUUAGACCACACUUUAGUAGCUGAAAUUUGAAAUUUAACUAAUUUAACUGCUCUUCAGUACCUGAAGUAUUAAUCACAGAACACUUUAUUCCCUCAAAUCUCAUACUUCUCAUAUAUGCUAGUAUAACUAUUGAACUUGCCAAUUUUGCACCAAGGACCAAAAUGCAUAUAAAGCGAACUUUAGACAUUUUAGUAAUUUAUGCAAAUAAACAUAUAUAAAGAAAGAAGAUGUUUGCUGUUAAAAUAAAACUCACAGAAAAGAAUAGGAAGAUGGG
rnacentral:misc_RNA from 1 species